UACAGGGGGGCGAAGCCGUUGUUCGGAAUUAUCUGGGCGGUAAAGGGUUCGUAGGUGGCCUCCUAAGUCAGACGUGAAAUCCCUCGACGCUUAACUGGGGAACUGCGUCUGAUACUGGGUGGCUUGAGUGCAGGAGAGGAAUGCGGAAUUCCAGGUGUAGCGGUGAAAUGCGUAGAUAUCUGGAGGAACACCGGUGGCGAAGGCGGCAUUCUGGACUGUAACUGACACUGAGGAACGAAAGCCAGGGGAGCAAACGGG
rnacentral:rRNA from 1 species